rnacentral:rRNA from 1 species
GACGAACCGUGCAAACGUUGUUCGGAAUCACUGGGCUUAAAGGGCGCGUAGGCGGGCGAUCAAGUCCGGGGUGAAAUCCUCCAGCUUAACUGGAGAAGUGCCUUGGAUACUGGUCGCCUCGAGGAAGGUAGGGGCAUCUGGAACAAUGGGUGGAGCGGUGAAAUGCGUUGAUAUCCAUUGGAACUCCGGUGGCGAAGGCGAGGUGCUGGACCUUUUCUGACGCUGAGGCGCGAAAGCCAGGGGAGCGAACGGG